GGCACCUCGCCCUUGCAUGCAGCACCAACGCCUUCAAACCACCAGCACGUCGCCGCCGCCGCGCCCGUGUGCAUUCUUCCAACUCUCGUGGAUGUGAUCCAGGUGCCCCUCGUCCAGUCUAGAUCCCUUUCCCCUCUCCUUUGCAUUAUCUCCUUCCCUAUCUUCGUCCCCUUCCCUUUCUUGAUUUGAUUCAACGAUUAUUGGAGUGCAGCUAGGCUUCAUCUCCUAGAGCCUUGAUCCAGAUUCGCUCUGAUUGUCUUGUAAAAAUUGUUGAUCCAAACAAUAUGAUUAUGACCUGUUACUUUCUGGUUACCAAGUGGAAAAGAUGAAAGGAUUUCAAGAUUCGAGUCUUGUAAUCCAGUCCUUGAGAAGGCGUUUGCUGCCACACCAUCAAAUCUCAAGUUGCCACUCUCUUAUUCAGUGUUUGAUUGGAUAGAUGAACAUGUCACCUGUCAUUUUCUUAAAUCGUGGCAUUUAUUGCCCUCAAGGCUCAAGCAGCAAGCAGGUUUCAUAGUCUAGUAAAUAGGGAUGGACUUCUGAUUUGGACCAUCGUCACAUCUCAUUUUCUGAACCGAACACAGCACUUGACAGAUCCAUAAGUGGAGGAUGAACGCUAAUCAUGUACGAUUGUUCAAGCAGCACUAGAGCUCUGCUGUUUCACACGGGACCAUAGAAGUGAAUGUUAAGAAAAUAUGCUAAAUGAAGAAGCGGAGAUUCAAAAUUGAAGUGAAGGUGUCUGAUGCACAAAUCUUUUGCAAUAGGAUUAGAACCUAGUGUGUAAGAUUUAAGGGAAUAUUUAAGGAAUUUGUAAUAUCUACUUGUGUAUAGAUAAUUGAUUUUGUUCCUAACUCUGUUUGCUGUAAUAUUAACU